rnacentral:piRNA from 1 species
UUCAUCUGCAUCUGUGCUUUUCACUGUU